UACGGAGGGUGCAAGCGUUAUCCGGAUUUACUGGGUUUAAAGGGUGCGUAGGUGGGUGGAUAAGUCAGCGGUGAAAUCUCCGGGCUUAACUCGGAAACUGCCGUUGAUACUAUCUGUCUUGAAUAUCCUGGAGGUGAGCGGAAUAUGUCAUGUAGCGGUGAAAUGCUUAGAUAUGACAUAGAACACCCAUUGCGAAGGCAGCUCACUACGGGAUUAUUGACACUGAGGCACGAAAGCGUGGGGAUCAAACAGG
rnacentral:rRNA from 1 species